ACGGAAGGCAGCAGUGAGGAAUAUUGGUCAAUGGGCGGAAGCCUGAACCAGCCAAGUCGCGUGAGGGAAGAAGGUUCUAUGGAUUGUAAACCUCUUUUGUCGGGGAGCAAUGGGAGUCACGCGUGACUUUAGGGAGCGUACCCGAAGAAAAAGCAUCGGCUAACUCCGUGCCAGCAGCCGCGGUAAUACGGAGGAUGCGAGCGUUAUCCGGAUUUAUUGGGUUUAAAGGGUGCGCAGGCGGCCUAUCAAGUCAGCGGUCAAAUGUCGGGGCUCAACCCCGGAUAGCCGUUGAAACUGGUGAGCUAGGUUCCGAUUGAGGUUUGCGGAAUGCGAGGUGUAGCGGUGAAAUGCAUAGAUAUCACGCAGAACUCCGAUUGCGAAGGCAGCAGACCAAAUCGGCAACGACGCUGAGGCACGAAAGCGUGGGGAUCGAACAGGAUUAGAUACCCUGGUA
rnacentral:rRNA from 1 species